rnacentral:rRNA from 1 species
UACGUAGGGUGCGAGCGUUGUCCGGAAUUAUUGGGCGUAAAGAGCUUGUAGGUGGUUUGUCGCGUCUGCUGUGAAAAACCCGAGGCUCAACCUCGGGCCUGCAGUGGGUACGGGCAGACUAGAGUGCGGUAGGGGGAGAUUGGAAUUCCUGGUGUAGCGGUGGAAUGCGCAGAUAAUCAGGAGGAACACCAAUGGCGAAGGCAGAUCUCUGGGCCGUAACUGACGCUGGAGGAGCGAAAGCAUGGGGAGCGAAACAGGAUU